GACGAACGCUGGCGGCGUGCUUAACACAUGCAAGUCGAACGAUGAACCGGAGCUUGCUCUGGGGAUUAGUGGCGAACGGGUGAGUAACACGUGGGCAACCUGCCCCAGACACCGGGAUAACCAUUCGAAAGGAUGGCUAAUACCGGAUACGACCACUUCGGGCAUCCGAUGGUGGUGGAAAGGAUUCUGGUCUGGGAUGGGCCCGCGGCCUAUCAGCUUGUUGGUGGGGUAAUGGCCUACCAAGGCGACGAGGGGUAGCGGGCCGGAGAGGGCGACCGGCCACAGUGGGACUGAGACACGGCCCCGACUCCUACGGGAGGCAGCAGUGGGGAAUAUUGCGCAAUGGGCGAAAGCCUGAUGCAGCAGCGCCGCGUGAGUGAUGAAGGUCUUCGGAUUGUAAAGCUCUGUCUUUAGGGACGAUAAUGACGGUACCUAAGGAGGAAGCCACGGCUAACUACGUGCCAGCAGCCGCCGCAGUAA
rnacentral:rRNA from 1 species